rnacentral:misc_RNA from 1 species
GUGAGAACGCAGUGAAAUGCGAUAAGUAAUGUGAAUUGCAGAAUUCAGUGAAUCAUCGAAUCUUUGAACGCACAUUGCGCCCCCUGGUAUUCCGGGGGGCAUGCCUGUUCGAGCGUCAUUUCACCACUCAAGCCUCGCUUGGUAUUGGGCAACGCGGUCCGCCGCGUGCCUCAAAUCGACCGGCUGGGUCUUCUGUCCCCUAAGCGUUGUGGAAACUAUUCGCUAAAGGGUGCUCGGGAGGCUACGCCGUAAAACAAACCCAUUUCUAAGGUUGACCUCGGAUCAGGUAGGGAUACCCGCUGAACUUAAGCAUAUCAAUAAGCGGAGGA